AUUGAACGCUGGCGGCAGGCCUAACACAUGCAAGUCGAGCGAGCGGCGGACGGGUGAGUAAUGUAUGGGGACUGCCCGAUCGAGGGGGAUAACUACUGGAAACGGUGGCUAAUACCGCAUACUAUCGGAUAACCCAUAUGGGAUUAGCUAGUAGGUGGGGUAAAGGCUCACCUAGGCGACGAUAUCUAGCUGGUCUGAGAGGAGGAUGAGCAACACGGGGACUGAGAAACGGCCCAGAAUCCUACGGAGGCAGCAGUGGGGAAUAUUGCACAAUGGGGGCAAGCCUGAUGCAGACAUGCCGCGGGGAGGAAGAAGGCCUUAGGGUUGUAAAGUACUUUCAGCGGGGAGGCGUUACCCGAAGAAGAAGCACCGGCUAACUCCGUGCCAGCAGCCGCGGUAAUUC
rnacentral:rRNA from 1 species